ACAUUUUCCAUUCCUUCAUGUUGUGAUUAUCUCUGAAUCACGUUCUGUAUGAAGCUGUACUCACUUAGUCUCCCAAGACUUUUUUUAAUACAAUUUUUUUUUCCCAUUUAACAGCACUCAGGUCUUGCAGCACAUCAGACUAAAUCAUCAUUAUCGUCUUUGGAUUUCUUUCUGUCAUUUCCAGUGUUCCUUCACUUCUUGGCACAUUCUAUCCCUCUGUAACCUUUAAAGAAGAAGUGAAAAACAGGACACGUUUUUUUUCUUUUUCACAGCUCUCCUUAUUUUUGUGUUUGUUUGGGAUUUUUUCUACAAUUUCACUAGCAAGGUGCUAGUUGAAGAAGCUGAAAGUGAAACUGUCUGAAAAUGAGAGUGAAGAAAACUGGCCUGCUUCUAUAAUUUCAACAGAAAGCACCCCAGGUAAACAAAAUGGCACACUUGUGCAAUCAGCAAUGAAGAAUUCUCCCUACUUAAAUGGCUGAAGUGAGACAAGUGGAGAGAGAAAGUACGGCUUUCUGUGAGAGCUGGGGAAAAAAUCACAACGUAAUUCCCCACGGCCUCCAGUUGCCUCAUGACCACGCUCCUAUCCUGCCCUGACCCUGUGCUGACGGACUCCUGAGAGCCUGCAGGGGCAGAGUGCUGCAUCACCCCAUUGCCACCUCUUUCCAAUGGGCAUCUGUCCACAUCAGUGGCUGCAGGAGAACCAUCAGCAAUCCUGGAGCAGCUCUUUGAGUUCCCCAGGCUGUGCUGCCAGGGAGUUUCAGCUUCUGGGAAAGGCCUCAGCAAGGAAAAGCUUUCAGCAUUCUCAAAGUCAUCUAAUUGUUCAGGACAUACUGAGUAUCUGCACUUACAGAAAUCAUGUUCAGGUGGAGCUCCCUUGAAGGCAAGGCACCGGGAAGCCAAGAUGAGUUUUCAGAAAGUCCUGCUCCUGGUGAUUAAGACCAGCUCUUCGUGUGGAUGCUUCUGGAAGAGCCUGAGGCCGUGUUGGCCACCGGGAUGAGCACUCAUCAUCGUGCAGUAUCUGCCGGUCUAAUUGUGGGUUGCUUGUCAAAAAGAGAGAUAAGGAGGGCAGGUUGUAAGUACUGAGGUGUGCUUUCUUCCUUCCAUUCCUCCUUUGGCAGGAGGGAAGUCCUGAACAAGGCACGUGGAGCCUCUCCUCCCCUCUCUGCAUGCUUCAUCAGCAGGAAUUAAUUACCAGCUCUCCAGAUCACGCCAGCCAUCUGCCCCAUCAGCACUGGCCAAGACGCAAUGGAAGGGCAUGUAUGAGCUUCAGGGUUUUAACUGGAGCUGGGAGAGGGAGAAAAAAAGGAAUUUUUUUGCUGGUUGGCUUGAGUGUGGCCAUGGGUUUGUAGAGCCUGAAGGCUGAUUGCUGACCAUGCAUGCUGCAGCUCAGCACAGAGUGUGCCAACGGCUGAGACUUAUGUGACGACUGUCACCCAGCACAAGGAGCGAGCUGCCGAGCCAGGCCUUCUGUUUGGCAAAGCCCGACGACGCUGCUGAAUUAAAGACAUAAUUGGGGUUUUGGCAAAAUUGCAACACAGCUGCCCAAGGUCAUCUCCAGUGAAAGUAGCUGAGGAGGUUUACACAGAAGAUGUUAAUUGGAUUUUCGUUUUCUCUUUAGAAAGGUUCAGAGCUAUCGGAUCUCACCACACUACAUGCUGCAUGAAUAUGUCCAAUGAUAUUGUGAGCUGUGUUCAAUCUUAACGGCUUUCCAUCUCCGUAACAACGCCGGUGGUGCCUUCCUACUGAUAGGACCGAAUCCCAGCACGGAGCCAUCGCCACAGGCAGGAGGAUGACAAACAGGAGGCACAACAGGUUGCACCAAAAAGAAGCAGCUUUUCAGUUCAGAGGAAAUAGCUGGUUAGUGCACACGGACAACUUCUCACUUCAGCUGUAUGGGCUUUCCAGCACCUCAAGAGAUCCCACAGUUUUUGUUUUGAUAAACAAGAUGCCAUCCACCAUCUGCCAUCUCCCAUUGCCUCUGUCAGGAAGAACAGUUUGGAGAAUUCUUCCAACUGGAAGAGUCUCAGCUGUCUCUGCGCUUCAACACUAUCCUUUCACAUAAUCUUCAAAGAUCUGUCCACAAGCUCUGAAAUGUUAGCAUGGAAAAGCAAAUAAAAAAAAAAGAGAGAGAGAGAGAGAGAGAGAGAUCUGACCUUGAAGAUUUAGGAUUGGUUUUGCUUUUAAAACUAAGGAAAAAAAAAUACCUGCAACAAAGCAGAAAAAUAGAAUUAUAACUUUCUUAUGAGUUACAAGCUGCAUCAUUUUUCCCAGGGCCUGACAGUCAGGCUUGUUUUUUCCUUCUCACACAACAGUACCAGGCAGAGAUCCCAUCAGCCAAAAGCCACUUCAAAUCCCCCAAGCAACCCUCUUUUCAGAGCAUUUCCUUUCAUGCACAUGAGAUGUAAGGAGAGCUCAGGAAGAUCCUCCGAUGAAAGCCUUCCUCCCAAGUCGUCGCCUUUGAAGAAGAGCCCCAGUGCCAGUGAAGCUCCACUGGAAUUUGCCCUUUCCCAUGAUUCACAAUGGGGAUGUGAUGCAAUUUCCGAGCCAUGCUCCCUCUGGAAUAUACCACACAGAGUCUGAGUUCAGGUGGGGCCGUGCAUCUUUCAGAACCGUUCACAUGGCUGACCCACAUGUUGAUAAUUUGCAGUGAGCCAGGUGGGAUUAUCUGUGGUAUAGUUGCAGCUGGUGGCAGCACAUCCAGUAGGAGAGCACCGUUACUGCUUCAGCAUUAACAAGAAAUGGUGCCAAAGGCUGGCUGUGAUCAUGUAAAUAGCUCAUGGAGGGGGGCCAUGAGGAUUAUGACUACCUGGUGCUGCAGAGUGGAUGCCACCUGAGAGAAGAUGCUCGUGCCCACAGGGGAGAGCGCUCGCUGCCAGCAUGGAUAUGGGGUCAGUGCAGCUCCUGCCCUGCACAGCAGAAUGUUGGACUGCAGGGCUGGCUGAGCUGCAGCCAGCUCCCAUUGCUGUGCGAGGCAAUGUUUAAAAAAUAGAAUCAACACAUCAAACUAUGUGUCAUGUAAGUUUUCCAUGUCAAGGAAAAUAGCCUGAGGCCCUUCUUCCCACAUUUGCCGCUACAACAGCCAGACAACCUGGCCCCAAAAUUUAUUCUGGUCUUUAAUCAGGAAAAAUCCCUGUGAUCUCUGAGGUUGGGCUUCACGGUUUUGGAAAGAGAUGAUGUGGUUCACUAAAAGGAAGGCGCUUGCCCACUGUUCUUGAGGUCUGUGGUCACUGUGAGAGUUGCACUCAUUGUGCACCACCUGCAGAAAAAGUGGAAAUGCUCUCAUUUGCCCUAGUCGUCUCUGUGCAGUAAACAUCCAGCGUAGCAGCUUCAGAGCCAUUACUCAUGCUAUGUUUCCCUCUGUAUACACAAAAGCAGAUGCUAUCCAGCACCCGGAUGACCCCAAGUUCUGCUUUCAUCCUGAGCUAGUUUUGUUUUAUUUUUUCUCCAUGCUCUUCAUGCUGAGGUUUACCUUUCCCCAUGAUUUUGUUGCCCCAAGAACAAAGCUGGCCCUCCACAAACCAUGCACAGUGAGGCUGUGUAGGAUGUGUGCAUACUCUUACUGUUGAUUUUAGUUUCCUAAUUUAGAGCACAAAUACAAUGUCCAAGUGGCCAGAGCGAGAUUACUCCUCCAUGCACAUCAUCCUUCCCUUUGCACCUCAGGUAGCCAUUGCACAUUUCCUUUGACUCGGACUACAGUGAGAGAUUGGUUUUGCCUUUAGGAUGGGGCAGCAGCACAGAGGUGCCAACUCAAGGUGUAGGACUAUCACAGGGCUCUCAGCACUCUGAGCCAUUCAUGGCUCUUGCAAGAUCACACCUUGCAGGAAAGAUAAACCCAGAUAUGAUCUUGGGUUUAAAACCCAAGCCCUAAACAGGCUUUGAGGCCAAUGCACAAUUUCUCAAGCAGGCAAUAUGGUUUUCUUGUAUAUAUAAUAAACCUCAGUCAUCGGGAUUGCUGUGAGCUGCCACAAUGCAUACUCUCCUGUGGUGCAGCCCUGGUCGCUCUCACUGAUGUGUGCUAUUUCUGAACUAAAGCAUAAGGUUUAUCAUCCCUGCUGUUCUACCCUGCAAGCAGGAGUAAAAAAGGUCGACUACUGUGUUCAGGCAGCAUCAAAUUACUGUAAAACAAGUGAGAUACUGCAGCGAUAUAUGGCGAGUCUCGGCAUCUUCACUUCUUUCAGGCUUGCAUUAUAAAUGGGUCACAAACUGUUGCUUUCAUAAUAGAAAGAUGAGCCAUCAACUCACUCAUCCCUUCCAAAUUAAUAUUCAGUGAGGAUUUGCAAAUGAAACUGUUUCAUACCUGGGCAUGCCACGGAGCACCUGGAGUGCUUUGUCUGAGCUAUGUAAUGGGGAGUUCGGUGUCGUAAAGCAAUUUACAGGCUGUCCUAGGGCUUCUUCUGAUAAAAACGAUGACAGUAUGCACAGCUAGGCAGAGGAUAAGUGUUACAAUGAAGUCUGGGCUGGACAUAGGAGAGAAAUUUGGCACUUCUAAUCAGUUUUUUUGUCUCCCAAACCCAAAGAUCUCUUACAUGUCACCCAAACCUGGCCACACAGAGUCACCAGGGUCAGGCUGCCGUUCUUCCACUGCUCACACCAAGCUCCAGGUUCAGCCAGGUUGUGCUUCCUCCAUCAGCACUGACCAAUAUCAGCACCAAUAUCUGCCCUUCUGUCAGAGGAGAAACACCUUUAUCUUCUCAGGCUGAAAGAGAGCCACUCAAUAGAUCUGCAUCUACAGACUGCAGCAGUCUUCUCAUCCAUCUGUCGAAAUGUGCAUACCUGGCUGCGUCGGAGGCCACAGAUACAGCACUCAGCUGGAGUUGACUGUGGUGAUGCUGGGAGAUGCUGUUGGAGCAGCCCCAUGGGGGCCCCCAGCCCUGACCUGUGCUCAUCGCGGCUGAUGGAGAUGCCUCGAGCAGGAGCUCACGUCUGGCGGAGCCCGGUGGCAAAUUGGAAGAGCUCUUCCCAGAGUGAGAAAGAAGCUAAUUUCUUACUAAUUAUUUGCCAAACAGCAUGUAAUUAAAUAGCGCAGAACUGUCGACAAUGCAUCUUUGGGUCUUUAGGCCAUAUUUUUCCUGUUCGUGGCACGCUCCUCCAGCGCUUCAAGGCUACUGCAUGCUGCAGAGCAGCGGAGGAGCAGAGUGAUAAUUGAACAAUUAACAAGUGAUGUCAUAAAACAUUGUGCUUAAAAUAAAAUGCGUAAUUAAAAUAACUGAAGCACAAAAAAAGAUGCAACGGCGUACAGAAAAAGCACACACACUAAAAAAAAUAAAAAAAAAAUCCUUGAGAAUAAGUAAGUCCCAUGUAGGAACUAAAAUAUGCCAUUUAAAGGGAAAAAAAUAGCACCAGAGUGGUUAAGCAAAGACGUGGAGUAAACUAGCAAGCAAUGAUGAUUUGCCAAAAACUAUACUAAUGUUGCAAAAGAAGUAUUCUCUGUAGUUAACAAGUUUG
ensembl:lncRNA